CUACGGGGUGCACCAGUGAGGAAUAUUGCACAAUGGGGGGAACCCUGAUGCAGCAACGCCGCGUGGAGGAUGACGCAUUUCGGUGUGUAAACUCCUUUUAUAUGUCAAGAAAAUGACGGUAGCAUAUGAAUAAGCACCGGCUAACUCCGUGCCAGCAGCCGCGGUAAUACGGAGGGUGCAAGCGUUACUCGGAAUCACUGGGCGUAAAGGACGCGUAGGCGGGUUGGAAAGUCAGGUGUGAAAUCCUACCGCUUAACUGUAGAACUGCACUUGAAACUUCUAAUCUAGAGUAUGGGAGGGGGAGAUGGAAUUAGUGGUGUAGGGGUAAAAUCCGUAGAUAUCACUAGGAAUACCUAAAGCGAAGGCGAUCUCCUGGAACAUAACUGACGCUAAGGCGUGAAAGCGUGGGGAGCAAACAGGAUUAGAUACCCUCGUAGUC
rnacentral:rRNA from 1 species